GUGAGGAAUAUUGCACAAUGGGGGAAACCCUGAUGCAGCGACGCCGCGUGGGUGAUGAAGGUUUUCGGAUCGUAAAGCCCUUUUCUGCAUGACGAGAACGGACGGUAGUGCAGGAAUAAGUGUCGGCUAACUACGUGCCAGCAGCCGCGGUAAAACGUAGGACACAAGCGUUAUCCGGAAUUACUGGGCGUAAAGGGAGUGCAGGCGGUUGCGUAAGUUAGGCGUGAAAGACUUCGGCUAAACCGGGGGAGGUCGUCUGAUACUGCGUAACUAGAGUGUGGUAGAGGCGUGUAGAAUUCCGGGUGUAGUGGUGAAAUGCGUAGAGAUCCGGAGGAAUACCAGUGGCGAAGGCGGCACGCUGGGCCAUAACUGACGCUAAGACUCGAAAGCAUGGGUAGCGAACGGGAUUAGAAACCCCGGUAGUCC
rnacentral:rRNA from 1 species